UACGUAGGGUGCAAGCGUUAAUCGGAAUUACUGGGCGUAAAGCGUGCGCAGGCGGCUUUGCAAGACAGAUGUGAAAUCCCCGGGCUCAACCCUGGGAACUGCAUUUGUGACUGCACGGCUCGAGUGCGGCAGAGGGGGAUGGAAUUCCGCGUGUAGCAGUGAAAUGCGUAGAUAUGCGGAGGAACACCGAUGGCGAAGGCAAUCCCCUGGGCCUGCACUGACGCUCAUGCACGAAAGCGUGGGGAGCAAACAGG
rnacentral:rRNA from 1 species